ACAUCUGCAAAAGAAGGGGGCGGUUACGUUAACUCCAGAGGCAAAGUGAACAGUCCAGCCAGUUAACAUGAAAGCCAGUUACCGUAUAACACCGGGUUGGUGUUACCGCACCGCGAGUCCACAGGUAUGUCGGAGUUUCUUUCACGUUCUGUUGUCACGAUAAGUAGUUUGCUAAGUGGGCAUUUGUUUAACUGUGUAUAGGAGAGCAGACGCGGGCAGGACCAUAGCAGGCUUGUGUGUGCAUGUGUGUGAAAGCGGCCGUGUUGUUAUUAACGUCAGCUAGAAGUGUCCGCCAGCACGGUUAGCCAGCACAGUUACUGUAGUGGUGAGUGACUGGUUCUCCAGAAGCCAUUGCCUCCUUGGACAGUGUCAAAGAUCCCUGCAACUACACAACGUUGCUAGUUGCUGUUCUCUUUACUUAUAUGUUUGGUGCCGUCCAUAAUUUAUUUGUUUGUUUGGGUUGCCUAUCUUCCUCUGGCCUACCGGCCGUAGUGUUUGUGUAAAAGGGUGAGCCGUAGGCUAGAGUGGAUUUAUUUUGUUUAUUCUUUUUCAUUAUUAUUAUUUGUGUUUUUUUUUUUUUUUUUUUUUUUUUCUCUCUCUUUAAGUCCAGUGUCUCCCCUCCCUCAUCCUAGCUGAAAGCCUCAGUGUUUAGCAGGCCCAUUAGUGACUUAGCUUUGGGUAGCCGGUCUCUAGUGUUCCCACUCCAGUAGUCCAAUAGCAACGGCAGUGUGUGUAGGAUGAACUCUUAAUUGCUGUGUCACAUUUGUGUGUGUGUGUGUGUGUGUGUAGGAUGAACUCUUAAUUCCCUUUCCACGUAUCACCUGAGUGUAUUUUCCCAGCACCUAAACGUAUGUUGUUCAGUGUGCGGCAGACCACGUGUGUUAGAAAGACCUGGCCUAAUCUUAGUCUUCCUAUUGGCCCAUGCUGAGAUUCCCCAGUCCCUACCCUUGUCCAUAUGGUUCCCUUUCUUUUCUUUCAUUUCUUUUUUGUUUAUCUGGUGACUAACCAACUGCCU